rnacentral:lncRNA from 1 species
CACCAAACAGACACUGGUCACUCAGGGUUGUCGCCUGAUCAUCAGGAAGGCUCACCAGGAGGCCGGUGACUGUGAACACGCUGGGGAAGGUUGGACCUGAGUUUGAGUCCCUUGUCCUUCUGAGGGCCUUCAUUUCAGGUCCAGUGUUGCCCAAAAAUAUCAAGCAAUCCCCUCCCUGCUCAGCAUGGUGGAGUCAGGGGAGAUGGUGUGAGUGACCUGGUUCAGUCCUGUGAAAGCUGGAUUCCUGAUCAGUGGACCAGGGAGGGCAAGUCUCUCUCACUCUGGAGACCUUUUCAGAUCCACUCUCUUAGCAACUUUCAAGUAAACAAGACGGAAUUGCUAACUACAGUCCCCAUGCUGUACAUCAGAUCCCUAGAAAUUCUCCAUCUGAUAAGGGGACGUCUGUGCGCUUUGAC